UGGCUCAGUUGGUAAAGAAUCUGCCUUCAAUACAGGAGACCCAGGUUCGAUUCCUGG
rnacentral:tRNA from 1 species